ACCCCUGCCUUAGAAAAACCAGUUUCUCUUUUAUUGUCUGUGGCCAAGCUCUAUUUAGCUGAGCCUCUGCACUCCACCCCCUCUCUUUCCAGCUUCCUUUAGCCCCCUCUCUGCCACUUUCUCCUACUUUCCUAUUGUCUUUUACUAAAGAGAGGACCACGUGUCUCUUUCUCCAGGAGCAACUUCUCUGCCCAGGCCGCUGAGCUGAGCACCCUAUAGAGCAUGUGCCACCUCUUCUAGUCCUCAAUUCUUGAGGGUAAAAGACUUUCCCAAGACUUAAAAAUUCUUUAUUGUUGUUGUUUUGCUUUGUUUUGUUUUGUUUUUUUGUUCGUUUUGGUUUGGUUUCUUUUCCCCAGGAUUCUCUAACCAUCCUCCAGCUUGGUACUCUCUUUAGAACCCCCCCCCCCAAAAAAAAAGUAUUAUUUUGCAUCAAAGGCAAAGCUGAGCCUGAUAUCCGAAGGUAUAGGUACUCCCAUGUACUUGCAGAACUGAGCUGAAAUUCCACAAGAAGCCAAGACUCCUUCCAACCCAGAACUACCUCCCACAGUCUCCUGCCUUCCUUGGUCAGAGCCAACAGACCUGUGUCUCUCUCCCCUUUGAUAGGAAGUGGGUCAGAGGUGGUGUGGGGGCUUCUGUGGUCUUGAUAACUCAAGAAAAAGACAUAGGAUUGAGCCUGAAGGCGCAAGUCCAAAAGAAGUCCACUUAGUAUGAAGUACCUGCCCAGAGAAACACUUUAUGGAAUUAACACUUCCUCAAUGGAGGAGUCUGCUUGAGGAGCCACUUGGCAAAAAUAAAUAAAUAAAUAAAUAAAUAAAUUAA